AUAUAUGAUGACCUACAAGGAAUCUCGUUGGUUUGGCUGAUGAUUUGUUGUUGAGACUAGAAAAUUUUAUUUCC